AACGAACGCUGGCGGCAGGCUUAACACAUGCAAGUCGAGCGCCUCGCAAGAGGAGCGGCAGACGGGUGAGUAACGCGUGGGGAUCUGCCUAGUGGUACGGGACAACUCAGGGAAACUUGAGCUAAUACCGUAUAAGUCCUUCGGGAGAAAGAUUUAUCGCCAUUAGAUGAACCCGCGUCUGAUUAGCUAGUUGGUGAGGUAAUGGCUCACCAAGGCGACGAUCAGUAGCUGGUCUGAGAGGAUGAUCAGCCACACUGGGACUGAGACACGGCCCAGACUCCUACGGGAGGCAGCAGUGGGGAAUAUUGGACAAUGGGCGCAAGCCUGAUCCAGCCAUGCCGCGUGAGUGAUGAAGGCCUUAGGGUUGUAAAGCUCUUUCGUUGGGGAAGAUAAUGACGGUACCCAAAGAAGAAGCCCCGGCUAACUUCGUGCCAGCAGCCGCCGUAACAC
rnacentral:rRNA from 1 species